UCUUGAUGGACAAAAAAAAAAAAAAAAAUCAACCAGACUAUGAUAAUUAUUUCCCACAAACUGGAGUUAUCUAUUCCCUAUACUUAUGCAUUUGGGUAUUUUUCUAUGUUGGUUCUGUGUUUUUUUUUUAAAUCUUUGAAAAGCUGGGAGAUUUGUGAACAAGAUAAUAUGUCUUCUUUAAACAUAAUAAAUAUUACAAUAGGUAUCCACAAU